UACGUAGGGUCCGAGCGUUGUCCGGAAUACUGGGCGUAAAGCGUGCGCAGGCGGUUCGUUGUGUCUGAUGUGAAAGCCCCGGGCUCAACCUGGGAAUGGCAUUGGAAACUGGCGAGCUAGAGUGUGGCAGAGGGGGGUGGAAUUCCGCGUGUAGCAGUGAAAUGCGUAGAGAUGCGGAGGAACACCGAUGGCGAAGGCAGCCCCCUGGGCUGACACUGACGCUCAGGCACGAAAGCGUGGGGAGCAAACAGG
rnacentral:rRNA from 1 species